UGAGCUUCCAACUAGGGCGGCACGGUUGCGCAGCAGCAGAUUUUCUGCCUUACAGGGGGAGAAACCCAGGUUCGAUCCUGACUACAGGUGCUGUCUGUACGGAGUUUGUUCGUUCUCCCCGUGACC